GACUCUAAGACCCUAGACCCCUAAAAAAGCAGCGUCGUUUUUAGCAAAUCAGGACCCCCGUGACAUUGUCUUCAUCCCCCACCCCAAACGACCCCUCAGCUUUUUCUCGAUAGACACCUAAGCUUCUUUUCUGGACACCCACAAACACAACCAAACAACCAUAGCUCCCUGCCUGUCCUCCUCCAUUAACACUACCACAUCAAAGCUCCCAAAUCAGCCCCCAAAAACUCCAUGAAGUAAGCUGGAACUUCAGCUCAAAACCAACAAAAAUAGCCCCAAAUUCAGCCAUGAAACACCCCUAAACUCUAGCAAAACAAGAUGUGAAAAAUAUCUAGGAAAAGCAGCGAAGAAUCAGCUGCAAAAUACUCCAAAUCGCAACCCCUCUUCUCCCUGAAAAUCAGCUUCAAACAACCACCCAAAACUAGCUGAAACGCAACUCCAAACCACUCCAAAGCUAGUCGUCGUCACACCAUUUUUGCCGACGAACAAAGUUUCAUUUUAACUGUGUGAAGCCACCCAAAUUAAGUCGAGUUUUGAGUUGGUUCAUGGUUUCCGGCGCCGACGUGGGUCUCGCUCGGAUCGUUGUUUGUUUGUUGUUGUUUCGCUUAAUUUUAGACAAGCUUUAGUUUGUGGCUGUUCUUAGCCUUUUGGUUCUGCUAAGUUAGUUAUUUGCUAUUGAGAUGUGGAUGAGUUCUACAAUCUAUGUAAUCCAGGUAAUUUUUUAGUUGAUUUUAUGUUGUCGGUGUCUUGUAGAUUGUUGCUUUUAUGGCUUUUGAUUCUAGUAACACAUACUGUCAAUUUAAAUAUUUUGAGAAUGGGAUGUGAAAAAGAAAACUGAUAAUCUUAAUUUGAAUAUUUAGUGCUAAUAAACGAGUUUUCUGUUAGUCUACGAAAGUGUUCAUUUCUAAGAUUUUUUGUUGAUUAAAAUAGUUUAGAUAUGUUUUUGUUUAGAGAAAUUAUAUUUGUAGGAACAUUGUUAACAAGGAGGAUUUUGAAAAAAAUGAAAUGAACAGUGACUUCGUUUUAAAGAGGAGUUUUAAUUGGACCUGUUGCGACUUAAAGCAUUAUUAAUUGUGAAAACGUUCGGGUGACAUAAUUUUUGACGCGCCAAACAAAUAGGUACACAUGCGCGUGACCCGUUUCAAGAUAGUUGCUUAAUUAAAAGAGGCGAAUGCACAUAAGUUCUAAAAUGAGUAAUUAGACAUUUUAAUAAGCCAAGUAUGAUCAAAGCGAUCGUGCUAGAACCACGAAACUCGAGAAUGCCUAACACCUUCUCCCGGAUUAACAUAAUUUCUUACUCGGAUUUCUGUAUUUCGUAGACAUUAAUACAGACUCAAAUCUCCUCGAUUCGGGAUUCUAAACUGGUGACUUGGGACACCAUUAGCUAUCCCAAGUGGCGACUCUGAUCUUAAAUAAUAAUCCCGUUUCGAUUAUUGUUACUUUAAUUGGAAAAACACUACUAUACUCCCUUUCCGGAGUGGGAAAAAGGAGGUGUGACAUUACACACAAAUUCUUCCCAUUCACAAAACUCCUUAAUAUGUUCCAACACACCUUAAACAUAUAUUUUCAUUUCAAAAUGAUGUGGUUCCAUCCUAUAGGUCUCCUUUAAUACUCGAGUAUGUUAUUCCCAAAUACCGCUGGCGCAUUUUUAAAUAUUAAACUAUUAAAAAAUUUUAGCAGGGCCUUAGAUUAUCCCCACUUCGGAUAAUUCGUCCUCAAAUGAGGGUCAAGAUCUGCCAUUAGCAUUCAAAUAUGACCUAACUUUUACUUCACAUUCUUCUCACAAACUUCCUAACCAUCUUGUCUUGCAUCUCUUGAUGCACAAUAUCCAUAAAAGAAGACACGUUGGCCUCUAUGUUUGCCUGCUGCAUGUUACUCUUUUUAGGAGUCUUUUUUCUAUAUCCUUUUCCACGAACAUAGCUUGUCUCUCACCAAGAACGGAGGAUAAAAUCUCAUCUGUAUUGAAGUGAAGUUCUCUUCAAAAUAAUCACAAGCAGCUUCUCCAAUAGCCGCAUCACCUAUUGGUGACAUUUCCCUUCUUCAUCCUUAAUUUUGUAGAUGAAAAGUGUUCUUCUUCUACCUCUGAUCAAGCUAUGAAAGUACUUGGAGUUGGAAUCCCCUUGUUUGGACCAUUGUAGUAGUUUCUUCUACUUCAAUACUUCCUUCUUAAGUUUCAGGUUUUAAUGUACUGAGCUUGAAGUUCAUGUAACGCAGUCCUGCAGCUAGAUCAUUGGUAGCAGUCCAUUUCUCCUCUUCUAGCUUUUAUCUUUUGUUCAUACUCCUUUGGUUUCUGAAAGAUGUCCCCAUAUUGUUGUCUAGAAAAUUUACUCAAAGUAGUAGAAAAGGCUUUAAGUUUUUAGUUAAAGACCGACAUAGGAUUACCUAUAAACUGCAUGCUCCACACCUCAUUAGAAUCUCUCUAGAAUCAAUUUACAACCAAGGAACUCAAAAUUUGAUUAUCGAGGGAUCCUAAUGAGGUAAUUAGCCUUAGUAUCUCAUGUACACACUCAAUUUCUCCCUAAAAUAGACAUAGGCUCCUCUGUCCAACUUAUGGACGACGAAAGCCAAAUUAUAUUUGUGAUUCUGUUUAUGGUUUCCUUCAUGAUAUCUUGAGUCCAUAUGAUGUUGCCACAUGUCUUAUACCUCAUACAUGCUUACAUUGAUUAUAUUGGGCGGGGGAGGGGAGAGGGAUAUAGCCCAUGAUGCCAGCGAGACCUAUUGAUUAAAUGCUGGGGGGAGAUAGCCCAUAACAGUCGGGCCUAUUGAUUAUAUAUUUACCUACUAGGGGAUAUCGCCUAUAAUGCCAGUCAGGCAUGUUAUAUACAUAUAUAUAGCUACAAUUUGCAUUGCAUGAGUAUACAACAGGCUAGUUCAGAUGUACAUUUACCUGAUUAGGGGGAUAUAGCUCAUAAUGCCAGGUGAGUACCAUUUCAGAUAGUAGUUCAGUUUCAGCACAAUUUUAGCUUAAACUUCGGUUCUGUUCAAGAUCAGUUGCUAGUUCAGACUAUUGUUUGGCUUAUAGCUUAUACUCAGAUUUUCAUCUUAUAGUCAUAUUUUAGUAUGCUUUACAACAUUUCAUACUUUGUACAUAUGAUACUCAUGUCCCUUUCGGGGCACUACGUUUAGUGUCACGUAGGUACAAAUAGACCAGCGCUUGAGCAACAUCAAUAGGCCAUCUACAAGUUGUUGGAGUCACUCAGCUUACUCCCGGAGUUUCUUAUCUUUUGAUAUGUGUGUUGAUACCCAAUUUUUUACCUCAUGUAUUUUAAAAUGUGCAUACACACUUUCAAAAUAUUGUACAUGCAUUUAUAAACAUGCACAAGUAUUUUUAUAAUUUUUUCUAUAAUUUUUAAAAUCCUUAAAUCANNNNNNNNNNNNNNNNNNNNNNNNNAAUUGCAUUUUUUUAUUAUAUUUGCAUUUUAAGACUAUAAUUGCAUAUUUUGCAAUAAUAUCCCAUACAUAUGCAUAACUACAUUAUCUAUCCAGAAAAUAACUUUUUAUAUUCUUAUAAUGUUAAGUAAUUAUUCUAAACAACCUUCAUGCAUAAUAAUCAUUUUUUAUCAUUUAAUUAGCUAUUUUUACAAAUAUUUUAUUAUAAAUUGGGUAUUUAAUAAAUAGCCCCUUUAAUUAUCCCUAAAUUCGAACCCCCAGCCUAAUUCAAAUUAAAAAAUCCCAGCCCAAUUAACCAACCCAUAACCUGUUUCUUUAAAACCCGCCCAACCCAGAUCAAAUCCUGGCCAUUGAUCUCAGAGAUCAAUGGUCUAGGAUGCCAUUGCCUUUUUUAAUUACCCCAAACCCUAAUCAUUUUUCCACACCCGCCACCCUUGAAUCCCUCUUCUUCUCCUUUCUCUCUGAAACUAUCCCUAACCCUAGCGCUAUCACCCCUAAAUCUCCCAAACCCCUUCGAUCCCCCACCAAAUAUGAGGAUAUUUUGUGUCUUGCUACCCUAUCUAACUUAUUAACUCUACUGGUUGUUCGAUUCUUGUUGUUUUCUGAGGGAACCUCGAAGAGAUUCGAUUCAGAGUCGACUUAGGCUCUUUAUUUUCUUAUGAACUCGCAUGUUGUUCAUCAAUGUAUAUGUGUAUUGUUGACUUUGUGGAUAUGGUUGGAUUUUCCCCUCAUCUCGUCCCCUUUUCAAAAAACUCUCAUCUCUUGCACUUUGAAUCUGUUCAGAUCGUUGUAGAUCUGAAAUGGUUUUGAGUUUAUACGGUAGUUGUAAUGACCCGGUCGGUCAUUUUAUAAAUUUACGCCCCAAUCCCUAUUAACUGCUUUCCCCGUGUUUAUUUAUACUAUUUCGAUUUGCCAGGAUGUUCAGUUUUAAGUUUUGGGACACUUAGUCCCUAAAUGAGAUCUUAAGUUUUGGAAAUUUGACCGUAGUUGGAACAGUAUGAAGAUUGCCCGGGAAUGGAAUUUCGAUGGUUUUGUUAGCUCCGUUGGGUGAUUUCGGGCUUAGGGGCGUGUUCGGAUUGUGUUUUGGAGGUUCGUAACUAAUUUAAGCUUGAAAUACCGAAAGUCAAAUUUUGAAGUUUCCGGUUCUAUAGUGAGAUUUUGAUCAGGGGGUCGGAAUGGAAUUUCGACAGUUGGAGUACCUCCGUAGUGUUGAAUGUGACGUGUGUGCAAAAUUUCAGGUCGGACGAGGUUUGAUAGACUUUUUUGAUCGAAAGCGUAAAUUGAGAGUUUUUGGACUUCCUAGGCUUGGGUUAAUUCGAUGUUUUGAUGUUGCUUUAGGUGUUUUUAGGAUUAGUAUAAGUUUUGACAGUGAUAUUAGACUUAUUUGUGUUUUUGGUUGAGGUCCCGGGGACGUCGGGAUGGUUUCAGAAGGUUGUCGGAAGAAUUGGGAGUUGUUUGAGCAGCUUCAGCUGUUGACCUUCUGUCAUAAUCGCACCUGUGGUUGGGUCCUACAGGUGCGGAACUGCAGAAGCGGCGGAGUCAUCACAGAAGCAGAAAGGGGAGAUGCCAGCAGGGAUCGCAGAAGCGGGAGCUUCACCGCAGAAGCAACACCGCAUCUGCGCAAGGUUAACCGCAGGUGCGGAAGCAGGGCUUUAAGUGAAAUAUCGCAGAUGCGACCAUGUCCUCGCAGAAGCGGGACCACAGGUGCGGUUCCAGAGCUGCAGAAGCGGAUUAACUAGCCAGAACAUAUAAAUACUUGCCUUCGCAAAUUUGAGUUAUUUUCACCUCUUUACAAACGGGAAGAAGUCUUGGGGAGCAUUUUCAAGGGAGAGUUUUAGAGGAAUUCAUUGGGGUAAGGUCCUUGGUCUCUAAACUCGUUAUUGAGGUGAUUAUUAUCAUUAUAAACAUGAAAAUUUAAGGAAAAGCAGUGGUAAUUUGGGGGUUAGGACUUGAUUACUUAGAGCCCUUUUAGUGAUAAUUUGAGGGACCAUUUAAGGUCCAAUUUUGGCACUUUUGGCAUGACUGAACUCAUGAGAGUAUGAGGAUUCUGGAAAUGUAAAUUUUACCUGAUUCCGAGAAAUGGGCCCAAGGGGCGUUUUGGUCAUUUUACCUAAUUUUGCCUAUUAUCUUAGAAUUUAAUUGUAGAAUCAGUUACUUGAAGUUUUAUUUACAUUACGCAACUGAAUUGAAUAGAUUCGGGCCAUUUGGAGUCGAGUACUCGUGGCAAGAGCGUGGUUUCAGGUUAAUUUUGAGCUGGUUCGAGGUAAGUGACAUGCCUAACCUUGUGUGGGGGGACCUUCCCCUUAGGAUUUGGUAUAUUAAUUAAUUGAAAUGCCUUGUACGUGAGGUGACGAGUGCGUACUUGAGCUAAUUGUUGAAGAUCCGGUUUCCUUUAAGUAAAUUCAAUUGUAUUCCUUUUUCCUAUUUUAUACUACUUGCAAUUUAGGCAUGCAGUUAGCUUAGAAAAGCAUGUUUAAUUGACUUAAUUGCUUAUUUGCUUAAACUGCCUUAAUUAUAUUAUGUGAAGCAUGUUAAGUUAGAAUUACCUAUUUUACUUGGUACGGAUUUGAGGUUAAUUGAGUAUUCUUUGUGUUGUUGCUGUGUGUUCUACUUUGGGACUAUAGGACGACAUCCCGGGAGAUCGUUUGCAUGUAUUUAUGAUUUGAGUUAGGGUGCGGGAUACCAAGAGAUCUCUAGCACAUAUAUUGAGGAUACCAAGAGAUCCUCGGGAUACCAGAGAUCCCUAGCGUAUAUUGAGGAUACCAAGAGAUCCUCGCGAUACCAAGAGAUCUCUGGCAUAUAUUGAGGGUACUAAGAGAUCCUCGGGAUAAUGAGAGAUCCCCGAUGAUUAUCCUUCUGAAGAGGGGUAUCUCCUUGUGAUUGUUUUUAUCUCUGCUCCAGUUUUUGAAUUACUUAUUAUUAUAUAUUAUAUUCUUACUGUUAGCUUUCAACUAUUCUGUUUGUCUUAUUCUGUCAUCCCUUAUAUUUUAUUUAAUAUCAGUAGGGCCCUGACCUUCCUCGUCACUACCCGACCGAGGUUAGGCUUAGCACUUACUAAGUACCGCUGUGGUGUACUCAUUCCCUUUCUGUGCAUGUUUUUCAUGUGCAAAUCCAGGUACUUCUACUCAGACUUAUCACGCUUGAGACGGGGCACUUGGAGAGACUCCGAGGUAUAUCUUCCGCGUCCGCAGACCGAAGAGUACCUUUCUACUCUCACUUUUGUAUUAGACCUUCUGUAUUUUCAUUUCUUUGUUAGACAUUCCGGAGUUAGAUGUUUGUAGACAUUCAAAGGCUUGUGAUCAUGAGAUUCCAGGUUUUGGGGAAUGUAUACAGCUUUCGAUAGUUGAUAUUGUGUAUGUCAAGCG
rnacentral:lncRNA from 1 species